GUCUAUGGCCAUACCACCCUGAACAUGCCUGAUCUUGCUUGAUCUCAGAAGCUAAGCAGGGUUGGGCCUGGUUAGCACUUGGAUGGGAGAUAUUAAGAGGGAAGGGGGAGAUAGAAA
rnacentral:rRNA from 1 species